CCGGAAUUUCGAGUCGUGGAGAAAGAAUUUGCUCGCGGGUGGAGUGGCAGCGAUAGGUCCGGUAGCGGCAGCUGCUGUGGAUGUGAAUCAAAGAACAAAGAGACAUCUCCACGGCGGUGUUGCUGUCCAUUCUUUGAUCCCACGAAGAAGAUUGAUGGAAGCAAAUGAAUCGAGAAGAUCACACAUUGAUUGCUGCCCCAAUACUGGGUACUCUUCGCUUGUUCCAAGGGAAAAGCUAUCAACAACGACUUAAGCGUUUCCAUAUUCGUCCGUCAGUGCACAGCUUGGCUUUGAUGCAGCCAUCUUAUCGCGACGUAACUGGGAGGAAUACUUCGUACCCCACGCAGCUGACGUUGAUUUUUGUCGCCGCGCGGGGUUAAAGGUUUGUGACUAUGGCCACACAGAGGACACGAUGCAAGUGCGCUGGUUAUUGCGAAAGAUGCAAAUGCAGAUGCCUUGGGAGAUGGCGCAAAGAAUAACAAAAAAUGCAAGUGUUCCUUUCCCUUGAGCGCAGAGCAUGGCUUUUUGGAAGAAAAUGCAGCCACAGCGGGCAGGUGAGAGGUAUCUACUGAAGUUGCAAUCGCUCACUAUGUAGAAAGGGACGAGUGAAGUCGCUAGCUGGUUUUCUUUUUCAUUUUCCUUAGCAUCGUUUGAAGUAGCAAAAGAGACAAGUGAGGAUUGUCCACGUCCAAGCAAGAAAGUUCUUCUGUUUCAGGCGCAGGCGUACCUUCAUGGAACUUUGUAUGCUUUGAAAAAGGAGCGCUGUGACCGGAUCAAGGACUACAGAAGUGAAGUUUUCACGUGAUCCUGGACUGCCAGCUAUAGUAAACACGAAGAGUCAAAUGGACAGCAGCGUCCCAGGUACUUGAUAGCUAUGGAGGCGACAAAACGAACAAGUUAUUGCACCAGACAAUGCAAUAGAUUGCACUGCCCCAGUAGCAGAAGCACAAUGUCAAAGCCGAAGUGACUCAAGCGAGCAUAAAAAGUAAAAUUUCCAGGUGUA